rnacentral:rRNA from 1 species
UAGGGAAUCCUCCGCAAUGGGCGAAAGCCUGACGGAGCGACGCCGCGUGAGUGAUGAAGGCCCUCGGGUUGUAAAGCUCUGUGGGGAGGGAAGAAUAAGUUCAGAUCAAUACUCUGAAUGAUGACGGUACCUCCUUAGCAAGCACCGGCUAACUCUGUGCCAGCAGCCGCGGUAAGACAGAGGGUGCGAACGUUGUUCGGAAUUACUGGGCGUAAAGCGUGUGUAGGCGGCAAGGCAAGUCGGAUGUGAAAUCCCGUGGCUCAACCAUGGACGUGCACUCGAAACUGCCUAGCUAGAGUCCCGGAGAGGAAGGUGGAAUGCUUGGUGUAGAGGUGAAAUUCGUAGAUAUCAAGCAGAACACCUGUGGCGAAGGCGGCCUUCUGGACGGUGACUGACGCUGAGACACGAAAGCGUGGGGAGCAAACAGG